CUUUUACAUGUGAGUUAGUGUCUACAACAUCUUCGCCAGGCGUCAGAGGCACAUGAAGGUUCAAAUGGCUCUGAGCACUAUGGGACUUAACAGCUACGGUCAUCAGUCCCCUAGAACUUAGAACUACUUAAACCUAAUUAACCUAAGGACAUCACACAACACCCAGUCAUCACGAGGCAGAGAAAAUCCCUGACCCCGCCGGGAAUUGAACCCGGAAGCGAGAACGCUACCGCACGACCACGAGCUGCGGACUGUCUUUUGUAGGCUAUUCAUCCUGAGAAUACCACUGCAGUAAAUUCUUCAGAAUUUGGGAAGGGAGAGUUUCCUUCCAGUCUGUCCCACAGGGAAAGAGAGUUUUUCUUUUUUCUUUUUUCAAAAUUUUGAAAACAUCUAAGGUGGGAGAUGUAAAGUUACACAAAUAGUUACUCCUGGAGUAUCAAUAUCUAUACCUUACUCGUAGCAGCCUAGCACUUGGAACCCUCAGUGAUUGAGAGAUUUGGAUUGGUACCAGCAGUCACGAGUGGUGCGGAAGGCAAGGAGCAGUGGGAUCAUGACUGGAGGUCAGAUAAGGUUGGACGAUAUGUGCCUGCAUGCUGUGAGAAGUUCACUAAGUCUGUUAGCUGUGAGAAGUUCACUAAAUCUGUUAAAUGUUGCAGUGUUCAUGGAAUGGACUGAGACCUCAUCAAUAUUAGCAAAAGUCAGUAGAAGCAAUGGUUGCCUCAGAAAAGUAAUAACAAGCUGAAAUAAGAGUGAAUGUCAGUAAUUUUUGACAGAAGUGUUUGGAAUGUGUGCCAUGCCUUGUACUACAGACAAUAAACCUAUCAGUUCUAUGAAGUCAGUGUCUCCUUUUCAAUCCUUUUCAUGUCUAUUAGAACUGAGUGUGAAGAUUUUUGACGGUAAGUGUGAUGGUUUUGAUAGGGCAUGUACUGGUAGGCACUCGUCCCAUUUUCAGUCUCCAGGUGCAUGUUUCUUGGGAGUAAGAUGCCCACUCUCAGCUGUGUAGCAUAAAUGUUGGUCCAAUCACAAUAGUUAUAUCAACACAGCUGGUUUUAGAGCGAGACUUGGAUAUGAUAGAUACAAAUAAGCAGUAGGCAUCUUUCAACAUGCCAGUGCUGUGGCAGCAUUGUGAAUUUGCCUAUAUACUCUG